rnacentral:antisense_RNA from 1 species
GUCAUUCAACAUUUAUUCAACCAAAAAUACUAAGUCAGCUCUAUACAAACUAAUGGAAGGAUACAGCUAUGCAAAUACAGAAGAACACUAAACUGUUACAUGACAGAUGUAUGAG